AUACGUAGGUGGCGAGCGUUGUCCGGAUUUACUGGGCGUAAAGGAUGCGUAGGCGGAUGUUUAAGUGAGAUGUGGAAUCCCUGGGCUUAACUUGGGGGCUGCAUUUCAAACUGGAUAUCUAGAGUGCGGGAGAGGAGAAUGGAAUUCCUAGUGUAGCGGUGAAAUGCGUAGAGAUUAGGAAGAACACCAGUGGCGAAGGCGAUUCUCUGGACCGUAACUGACGCUGAGGCAUGAAAGCGUGGGUAGCAAACAGGAUUAGAUACCCUGGUAGUCCACGCUGUAAACGAUGAAUACUAGGUGUGGGAGAGUUAAAUCUUCCGUGCCGCAGUUAACACAAUAAGUAUUCCGCCUGGGAAGUACGAUCGCAAGAUUAAA
rnacentral:rRNA from 1 species